UCGGUGUGGCACAGUUGGGUGGCACCAGAGUCUCGGGAGACUUGCAAAGUAUUUAUUGUACUGGCAGGGGCUCCCAGGGACCUCACUUCUGAAUGAAAGCCCCAUUUAUGUGGUAAUCAGUGGCUGAAGAAAGGAGGUCACAUCAAUUUCAACCCACUUGCGCCUUGUAAGUUCAAAUCGCAGAUUAAAAGUUAUCGACU